rnacentral:rRNA from 1 species
UUGAACGCUGGCGGAAUGCUUUACACAUGCAAGUCGAGCGGCAGCGCGGGGCAACCUGGCGGCGAGCGGCGAACGGGUGAGUAAUAUAUCGGAACGUACCCUGUCGUGGGGGAUAACACAUCGAAAGCGUAGCUAAUACCGCAUACGCCCUGAGGGGGAAAGCGGGGGAUCGCAAGACCUCGCGUGAUUGGAGCGGCCGAUGUCGGAUUAGCUAGUUGGUGGGGUAAAGGCCUACCAAGGCGACGAUCCGUAGCGGGUCUGAGAGGAUGAUCCGCCACACUGGGACUGAGACACGGCUCAGACUCCUACGGGAGGCAGCAGUGGGGAAUUUUGGACAAUGGGGGCAACCCUGAUCCAGCCAUUCCGCGUGAGUGAAGAAGGCCUUCGGGUUGUAAAGCUCUUUCAGCCGGAACGAAACGGUACGCUCUAACAUAGCGUGCUAAUGACGGUACCGGCAGAAGAAGCACCGGCUAACUACGU